rnacentral:lncRNA from 1 species
GUAGUGCUAAAACUUCUGUACUCUAAACUUACAUGUACACCUUGUUCUCUCACACUACUGCAGAAACACCUGUAUCAACAAACGGGACUACAACGUUCUCUCAGACACCUUAUGAAAGGUACCAACACCAUAUUUGUGAUAUAAAAGAAAUUUGGGAAUUGCUCCUGUUUAUUCUCCGUCUCUCAACUUGGAAAUUUCCUAUCUUUCCUACAGUUAAAAAUCAGGUUACUUAAUUUUGUUUCCCGUUGAUGUUUUUUUUUUUUUGGUUUAAUUCAUUUUUCUAAUUGGAUUACUUGUUUAGCAUGAAUAAAAAUCUGUUUCCUCCCGUAUUCA